rnacentral:rRNA from 1 species
UGGGGAAUUUUGGACAAUGGGGGAAACCCUGAUCCAGCCAUCCCGCGUGUGCGAUGAAGGCCUUCGGGUUGUAAAGCACUUUUGGCAGGAAAGAAACGUCAUGGGUUAAUACCCCGUGAAACUGACGGUACCUGCAGAAUAAGCACCGGCUAACUACGUGCCAGCAGCCGCGGUAAUACGUAGGGUGCAAGCGUUAAUCGGAAUUACUGGGCGUAAAGCGUGCGCAGGCGGUUCGGACAGAAAGAUGUGAAAUCCCAGAGCUCAACUUUGGAACUGCAUUUUUAACUACCGGGCUAGAGUGUGUCAGAGGGAGGUGGAAUUCCGCGUGUAGCAGUGAAAUGCGUAGAUAUGCGGAGGAACACCGAUGGCGAAGGCAGCCUCCUGGGAUAACACUGACGCUCAUGCACGAAAGCGUGGGGAGCAAACAGG